rnacentral:rRNA from 1 species
CAAUAGCGUAUAUUAAAGUUGUUGCAGUUAAAAAGUUCGUAGUUGGAUUUCUGGUGGGAGCGAUCGGUCUGGCGCUUAGCGCGAGUACUUGCAUCGUCUCCGGCCAUCCUUGGGGAGAGUCUGUCUGGCAUUAGGUUGUCGGGCAGAGGAUCCUCAUCGUUUACUGUGAAAAAAUUAGAGUGUUCAAAGCAGGCUUAUGCCGUUGAAUAUAUUAGCAUGGAAUAAUAAGAUAGGACUUUGGUACUAUUUUGUUGGUUUGCGCACCAAAGUAAUGAUUAAUAGGGACAGUUGGGGGUAUUCGUAUUCCGUUGUCAGAGGUGAAAUUCUUGGAUUUACGGAAGACGAACUACUGCGAAAGCAUUUACCAAGGAUGUUUUCAUUAA